rnacentral:misc_RNA from 1 species
GAGAUGACCUUCCAUCUUCACAAGGUAAUCUUUCUCUAUACCAUAUUUACAUUAAAUUCUUCUCUGUUUGGAUCUUAUGUAAAAUAUAAAAUAGGUUACCCUGUCAAGUGAUGUUAUAUUUACUCUGUCAAGUGAUGUUAUAUUCCUUCUGUUGUUAUGUGCAACUGAGGGAUCUGAUGGGUAAAUGAUUAACACUAUUGCUUAUAAAUGUACUCUCUGCUUACCUGCCAGGCCAAUUGAAAUUGAACUUUCUCACUCAAAGUUGUUACUCACCCUCUGGUUUUCCAACUAUUUAAAGGUGCUUGUAAUGAUUGUGUUUGUGCUUGUGCUUGUUAAUUGUGCAAAAGUAUAUAACUUUCCUCAAUGCACCUUUAUUAUAACUUCCCAAAAUGGAAAGGCCUAACAGUUUGGGUUGGAGGAAUAAUUAUCUGCUAACUUUCCCUUGCGCUGUCUUGUGUGAAAAAAGUGUACCUUGAUUGACGUCUGUGCCAUUCUUUGAUCUUCUCCUAUCUCAUUCUCGUUUUCUCUCUCUAAGUAUUUGUAAACCUUAUUCUCAAUUCCUUGAGUUGAAGAUGAGAGAACUUGUUUUAGUUGUGUUCAUUUACUAAUAGUGAGCUAUAUGAUAAAACUAUCAAAAGGCUUGUGCCACAUAGUUGAAUCAAAUUAAGUAUAGCAUUCUUCUUGUUGUCAUCUGGUUGGCUCAUAUCUGUGUUUUGACUUUUGAGUUUAAUUUUACAAUUUUUUUUUUGAACAUGUACAAGUUUUUCAUAAAUAGGGCAUUUUGUUUUCAGAGUUGAAUUGAAUCAAGAUAAUAAAAAAUGGAGAAAUUGAAGUUGAGCUCUGAAUAUCUGAAAAUUUUGGAUUGAAAUUGGUAAAACUGCAUUAUUCACCUAACAAAUUAUUGCAGACUAAUUAAUUGCUCAGGAGAGGUCAAUUGUACCUAUAUCCUGUUGGUUAUCACUCUUUAAUGUGUAUGUAUUAUUCAUCUAACAUUUAGUUACAGUCUUAAAUCUGCCAAAGCAGUAUUAUGAUGAAUGAUUUUGGUGGUGCAAAUGCCUCACCCUAUUCCUGUUGGAGUAGGAUGCGAGUUAGGUAAUUCAAAGCAGUUUAUUUCAGGCUUAGUUUAGGGCCAGGCCUAAAUGCUUCAUGUGCGGUGGGGCAGCUUCACUGAAACCCUCUCUCCCCAGGCUGACUAAAAGUAGCAUUCUGGCAUUACCCACUGUUUCUGAUUCUCUGUGCAUUUUCUGCAUUCUAUGUUUCUCGUUGUAGUUUACCAUUUGCCCUAAGACGUAUAAAAAGAAUGAUUCUGUAUAUACAUCUACUGUGUUUCUGUGAGAGCUAGUGAGAAUUUUUUUUUUAUGUGUAAUGGUGAAGAAGUAAUGUUGUUAUGGUUGUUAUAGAACUCUGUAUCUUUUAUUGUUUCUAAUGUAUCCAUAUUAUAAUUUAAUGCA